GUCUUAUUUCUUUAUGUGUGUGUGUGUGUGUGUGUGUGUGUGUGUGUGUGUGUGUGUGUGUGUGUGUGUGUGUGUGUGUGUGUGUGUGUGUCAGCCAGGCCAAUCACAGCGCUGACAGCCUCACACCACUAAUAUCUUGCUCUCGGACAAAGCAGAAUUUUCACACUGCCGCAAAAAUCGUCUUAGUAUUCCCCAUGCAGUGUCUCUUUACCAGCAGCAGCAGCCAGUCCUCACUCACUAAGGUCCAUGCUCUUAAACGUCUUGGGCUUCCAUCACGACUUUUCCCAAGGCCACAGAGAAGAUUAACUGGGUUUUCAUGGGUGAUUUUCCCAUUCAAGAUGGAAAAAUCGUGUAAAACUAUCACCAGGAUCACAAAACAGUCCAUGGAAAUCCCACCAACUUUCACAAGAGGCUUUUCAAACAGGUGAACCGAGGCGCCGAGACGUAUAACAAUGCGGCUUUAGUCCAUAACCUAUCCUUCAAAUUUAUCCCAUGCAUGAGCCUUUACUGCCACUGGUCUGAACACACUAAGGGUCGUAUUGGUAAACAUUUCGGCACCCACGCACACAUAUUUGACAAGGCUUUCGUAUGAGUUGUAGGCAUUUCCAAGGGUAGUUUAAUGACCCUGGUGGUAGUUCGUCCCUUCUUCUAUAAUGAACGUGAAAAAACACUAAUGAAAACCUGAUUAAUCUCCUUUUCAGCCUUUGGAAAGAGUUGACGUGAAAGGCGGAAGCGUCUAAGAAUACCAACCUUAGUCCAUAACCAAGUCUUUAUAUGUCUGUGUGAAGGUUCUGUUCGUUGCUGAGGGCUGGGAGGUUUUCUACUUCAGGUGUUACAAGUUCAUUACUGAGCGGGCCAGACAGUAUCAAGACACCUCCACCUGAAACCCAAAACUGACCUCUCUUUUGGCCUCUCGUUCUGUAUUCUUUUAUUCGGAUCAGUGUCUAGCAGGCUUUUCUUACUGUUGUUUUAGGUUAGGUUAGGUUAGGUUAGCUGUAUUCUUUUAUUUGGAUCAGUGUCUAGCAGGCUUUUCUUACUGUUGUUUUAGGUUAGGUUAGGUGUAUUCUUUUAUUCGGAGCAGCAUCUAGCAGGCUUUUCUUACUGUUGUUUUUGGUUGGGUUAGGUUAGGUUAGGUUAGGUUAGGUUAGGUUUGCUGUAUUCUUUUAUUUGGAGCAGUGUCUAGCAGGUUUUUCUUACUGUUGUUUUAGGUUGUCAGGUUAGGUUAGGUUAGGUGUAUUCAUUUAUUUGGAGCAGCAUCUAGAAGGAUUUUCUUACUGUUGUUAUAGGUUAGGUUAGGUUAGGUUGGGUUAGGUUAGGUUAGGUUAGCUGUAUUCUUUGAUUCGGAGCAGUGUCAAGCAGGCUUUUCUUGAUGUUGUUUUAGGUUAGGUUAGGUUAGGUGUAUUCUUUUAUUCGGAGCAGUGUCUACCAGGCAUUUUUUGCUAUUGUUUUUAUUUUUGCUACCUCCCUCGCUGUAAAAAAAUAGAACAUCACGCUAACAGCCUCCCUAGCACUGUUGGUCUCACGUCUGGCCCAGCGAUGGACUGACUAUGAAAAAAAUAUGACUGCAGGGAU